rnacentral:rRNA from 1 species
CCCUUAGAUGUUCUGGGCGGCCCGCGCACUACACUGGCACUCUCAAUCAGAGCCUGGAUCUAACACUUUGGGGUAUUCUAUGAAGUGGUGUCGUGACUGGGAUUAACCCUUGCAAUUAUUGGUUACGAACGAGGAAUUCCUUGUAAUCGCGGUUUAUCAGCCCGCGUUGAAUGCGUCCCUGCCCUUUGUACACACCGCCCGUCGCUCCUACCGAUGGAUCGUCCGGUGAAGCUCGUGGAGGGGCGGUUGUCUCAGCUGCCGUCGAAGUGAAAUGGACCUCACGAUCUAGAGGAAGGAGAAGUCGUAACA